AUGAACGCUGGCGGCGUGCCUAAUACAUGCAAGUCGAGCGAACAGACGAGGAGCUUGCUCCUCUGACGUUAGCGGCGGACGGGUGAGUAACACGUGGAUAACCUACCUAUAAGACUGGGAUAACUUCGGGAAACCGGAGCUAAUACCGGAUAAUAUAUUGAACCGCAUGGUUCAAUAGUGAAAGACGGUUUUGCUGUCACUUAUAGAUGGAUCCGCGCCGCAUUAGCUAGUUGGUAAGGUAACGGCUUACCAAGGCAACGAUGCGUAGCCGACCUGAGAGGGUGAUCGGCCACCCUGGAACUGAGACACGGUCCAGACUCCUACGGGAGGCAGCAGUAGGGAAUCUUCCGCAAUGGGCGAAAGCCUGACGGAGCAACGCCGCGUGAGUGAUGAAGGUCUUCGGAUCGUAAAACUCUGUUAUUAGGGAAGAACAAAUGUGUAAGUAACUAUGCACGUCUUGACGGUACCUAAUCAGAAAGCCACGGCUAACUACGUG
rnacentral:rRNA from 1 species